rnacentral:rRNA from 1 species
AACGAACGCUGGCGGCAUGCCUAACACAUGCAAGUCGAACGAGACCUUCGGGUCUAGUGGCGCACGGGUGCGUAACGCGUGGGAACCUGCCCUUAGGUUCGGAAUAACUCCCCGAAAGGGGUGCUAAUACCGGAUAAUGUCUUCGGACCAAAGAUUUAUCGCCUUUGGAUGGGCCCGCGUUGGAUUAGCUAGUUGGUAGGGUAAAAGCCUACCAAGGCGACGAUCCAUAGCUGGUCUGAGAGGAUGAUCAGCCACACUGGGACUGAGACACGGCCCAGACUCCUACGGGAGGCAGCAGUGGGGAAUAUUGGACAAUGGGCGAAAGCCUGAUCCAGCAAUGCCGCGUGAGUGAUGAAGGCCCUAGGGUUGUAAAGCUCUUUUACCCGGGACGAUAAUGACAGUACCGGGAGAAUAAGCUCCGGCUAACUCCGUG